rnacentral:rRNA from 1 species
GAUGAACGCUGGCGGCGUGCCUAAUACAUGCAAGUCGAGCGAACAGACGAGGAGCUUGCUCCUCUGACGUUAGCGGCGGACGGGUGAGUAACACGUGGAUAACCUACCUAUAAGACUGGGAUAACUUCGGGAAACCGGAGCUAAUACCGGAUAAUAUAUUGAACCGCAUGGUUCAAUAGUGAAAGACGGUUUUGCUGUCACUUAUAGAUGGAUCCGCGCCGCAUUAGCUAGUUGGUAAGGUAACGGCUUACCAAGGCAACGAUGCGUAGCCGACCUGAGAGGGAGAGGGGGCAGAAGGGAAAUAUGAAACGGUACAGACGACAAAGGGAGGCAGCAGUAGGGAAUAGUAGGAAAUGGGCGAAAGAGUGAAGGAGAAAAGAAGCAUGAGAGAUGAAGGGCUUAGGAACGUAAUACGCUGUUAUUAGGAAAGAACAAAUGGGUAAGUAACAAUGAAGGGCUAGACGGUACAUAAUCAGAAAGCGACGGAUAACGACAGG